AAAAAUUCGAAGGCAUUAGAGACUGUCUGCAAGUGGCAAAGAGUUUAGUGGUUGGUAUUCGAAAUUUCAAGUUCAAAAUCUUGUUGAUUCACAGUUUCAAUUAAAUUUAUUUUUAAAUGAAAUAAAAGGAAAAGAAUAGCGUGCUAUCUAUCUCUCAAAAAAAAAAAAAUUGAAGGCAUUACAAGGGUGCAGUUGGUUUAAUUUGAUUCAUUUUUUAGACGAUUUUCACAUCAAAUUAAAAAUUUUUUUUUUAAAAAAAAUUGCAAUAAACCAAAUCGAUUUAUCCUUGAAACAUAUCCAAAUCAAAUCGAAAUAAUUCAUUU
rnacentral:lncRNA from 1 species